ACUAUUUUGACAGAAAUUAUGUGUUAAAUUUAGAAUUUAAUUAAGUAUAAAUAAUUUAUACAAAUAGUA
rnacentral:tRNA from 1 species